rnacentral:rRNA from 1 species
GAUGAACGCUGGCGGCGUGCCUAAUACAUGCAAGUCGAGCGAACGGACGAGAAGCUUGCUUCUCUGAUGUUAGCGGCGGACGGGUGAGUAACACGUGGAUAACCUACCUAUAAGACUGGGAUAACUUCGGGAAACCGUAGCUAAUACCGGAUAAUAUUUUGAACCGCAUGGUUCAAAAGUGAAAGACGGUCUUGCUGUCACUUAUAGAUGGAUCCGCGCUGCAUUAGCUAGUUGGUAAGGUAACGGCUUACCAAGGCAACGAUGCAUAGCCGACCUGAGAGGGUGAUCGGCCACACUGGAACUGAGACACGGUCCAGACUCCUACGGGAGGCAGCAGUAGGGAAUCUUCCGCAAUGGGCGAAAGCCUGACGGAGCAACGCCGCGUGAGUGAUGAAGGUCUUCGGAUCGUAAAACUCUGUUAUUGGGGAAGAACAUAUGUGUAAGUAACCGUGCACAUCUUGACGGUACCUAAUCAGAAAGCCACGGCUAACUACGUG